AAGGAAUAUUGGUCAAUGGACGGAAGUCUGAACCAGCCACGCCGCGUGGAGGAAGAAGGUUCUCUGGAUUGUAAACUCCUUUUGCCGAGGGCUAAGAAACGGGUAUAUCCCGUCGUGAAAGUACUCGGUGAAUAAGCCACGGCUAACUACGUGCCAGCAGCCGCGGUAAUACGUAGGUGGCAAGCGUUGUCCGGAUUUACUGGGUUUAAAGGGUGCGUAGGCGGUUUAUUAAGUCAGUCGUUAAAGGCAGCAGCUUAACUGUUGUAAGGCGAUUGAUACUGGUAAACUUGAAUUAUUGGGAGGUUGUCGGAAUGCGUAGUGUAGCGGUGAAAUGCUCAGAUAUUACGCAGAACGCCGAUUGCGAAGGCAGAUAACUACCAAUAGAUUGACGCUGAGGCACGAAAGUGUGGGGAGCGAAC
rnacentral:rRNA from 1 species